GGAAGCCUACACCUCAGUCCUGACUGUAGGGAAGGAAGCCUUGGAAGAGUUUUAUGGAAGAAAAUUGGUUGUUGCUGAUAGAGAAGAAGUGGAACAAGAAGCAGAUAAUAUUUUAAAGGAUGCUGAUAUCAGUGAUGUUGCAUUCCUUGUGGUUGGUGAUCCAUUUGGGGCUACAACACACAGUGAUCUUGUUCUAAGAGCAACAAAGCUGGGAAUUCCUUAUAGAGUUAUUCACAAUGCCUCCAUAAUGAAUGCUGUAGGCUGCUGUGGUUUACAGUUAUAUAAGUUUGGAGAGACAGUUUCUAUUGUUUUUUGGACAGACACUUGGAGACCAGAAAGCUUCUUUGACAAAGUGAAGAAGAACAGACAAAAUGGCAUGCACACAUUAUGUUUACUAGACAUCAAAGUAAAGGAGCAGUCUUUGGAAAAUCUAAUCAAUUACCGAGGAGACACUUUGUGUUGGCUUAGCCAGAGUUGGAGCCGACGACCAGAAAAUUGCAGCAGGCACUUUACGGCAAAUGUGUACUGUGGACUUGGGAGAACCAUUGCAUUCCUUGAUCAUCACAGGAGGCAGCAUACAUCCAAUGGAGAUGGAGAUGCUAAGUCUGUUUUCCAUACCAGAAAAUAGCUCAGAAUCUCAAAGCAUCAAUGGACUUUGAACAUAGAUAUUUACUAUUGUCUGAUGUAAAUUUCAGCCAUAUAUGGAUUGAUAUGGUUUGGCUGUAUCCCCACCCAAGUCUCAUCUUGAAUUUUAAUCCUCAUAAUUCCCAGGUGUUGUGGUAGGUAAUUGAAUCAUGGGGGCAGUUUGCCUCAUGCUAUUCUCAUGAUAGUGAGCUUUCAUGAGAUCUGAUGGUUUUAUAAGUGCCUGGCAUUUCCCCUACUGGCUCUCAUUCUCACUCUUGCCGCCCUGUGAAGAGGUGCCUUCCACCGUGAUUGUUAAGUUUCCUGAGGCCUUCCCAGCCAUGUGGAACU
rnacentral:sRNA from 1 species